CCUUUCGAGUUCCGCUUCAAGUUCCCGGCUCACAGGUGUACUCUCCCAUAGCAUGUGGAGAGUUCCUGGAUGGAUGCAAUGUUCACUGGGCCAUAGCCACUGGUACCACAUUAGAGGAAAUCAACCAGCACUGGAAGUGGCUGGGACAGAAUCUCCUCCAUACUCUGUGUUUGAUUAUAAAGACGACAUGGCCAGCUUUGUCAAGGGGAAGGUGAAGUUCAACUUGUAAUACCUUGGGUUGAUAUCCAGAAAUUGGAAAGGACAGCCAACGUCUUUGUGGCGGACACCAUCCGGAUCACCACACAGAAUAAGGAGCGUGACUCCUCCAUGUUUCUGAUCCUGGAUGCGGUCUUGAAGAUCAUGGAGCAGCUGGUAGAUGUGAUGCUGCGGAGGCUGCUGGAUAAUGAGGUCUGGAGCCAGAUGUGCAGGAGCCAAGCCAGAUCACCAAGAGGUAGAGCUUCAGUCCCAUGGUGUCCCUCAGCUGCUUGACCUUUUCGUGUGCUUUGCUUAGCACCUUUUGGUUAUGAGGUAUUCGCUGUGUCCCUGGGCAUUGGUUCGAGGGCCUGUGUGCAUAGCAAACCCCAUGAAUGCUCAAGUUUCUUUCAUAAAAUGGCAUGGUAUUUGUAUAGAAACCUUUUUUUGGUUUUCUGGUGGUGCUGGGGUUGAACCCAGGUCCUUAUGCAUGCGAGACCAGGGCUCUACCACCGAGCUACA